rnacentral:lncRNA from 1 species
GGAAGCUAGGCCCUGGCCAGCUCCUGGUAGGAUGUGAGUUUACCCCAGCCCUGGCUUCCCUAUGGACCCCAUUCCCUGUUGAGGAAGGGUCCCCGCCCUGCUCCUCAUGGUGGUGACCAGGGAGACAACAGACAUGCUUUUUGGGCGUGGAAAGGACAGGUUAGGGCAGUGGAGUGGUGGCAGUAGAUGCUAGGGGUCAAGGCUUACUGGAGGAAUCAAAGGCAGGUGCCGUGCCGUCCGCCCCGCUGUCCUGCAUGGGAAACACCUCCACAAACUCCUUCUUGAAGACCGACAACAGGACAAAAGUCUCACCUCUGACUUCCCCGUGGUAACUCUGUCACCCUCAUGCCCUCUGGACCAAUCCCUCUUCAGGAUUCCCCCUCCCCCACUAAUCCCUCUCCAGGAAGCCGCAUGUCUGUGUAGGGCUCUGGUCCCUCCCCCAAGGAGUGUCAGUGGUGCUGCUCCAAGAACCAUGAAGGUUGAGCUAGAGAAUCUGGCAAAGCCCUGUGACCUUGUGACACCUGUCUUGGGACCUCCCACCCACCUGUCCAACACCUUGCAGCAUCUCCAGGAUCUCCAGCUGUGACCCUGUGACCCUCCCCGACCCCAUACCUCCCACCCACCUGCCCAGCACCUGCAGAAUCUCCAGCUGUGACCCCCCCACCCCACCCCAGGACCUCCCACCCAUCUGCCCAGCACCUGCAGGAUCUCCAAGAUCUUUAGCUCUGACCCUAAGAUCACCCACCCUGGACCUCCCACCCACCUGCCCAGCACCUGCAGGAUCUCAAGCUGUGACCCUGUGACCCCAGCCCUGGAACCUCCUACCCACCUGCCCAGCACCUGCAGGAUCUCGAGCUGUGACCCUGUGACCCCAGCCCCAGGACCUCCUACCCACCUGCCCAGCAUCUGCAGGAUCUCCAAGAUCUUCAGCUCUGACCCUAAGAUCACCCACCCUGGACCUCCCACCCACCUGCCCAGCACCUGCAGGAUCUCGAGCUGUGACCCUGUGACCCCAGCCCCAGGACCUCCUACCCACCUGCCCAGCACCUGCAGGAUCUCGAGCUGUGACUCUGUGACCCCGACCCUGGAACCUCCCACCCAGCUGACCAGCACCUGCAGUAUCCCAGGAUCUCAGCUGUGACCCUGUGACCCCCACCCCCACCCCGGGACCUCCCACCCACCUGACCAGCACCUGCAGAAUCUCCAGGAUCUUCAGUUUGGUCUCCAUCACCACAGUGUGCUCAUUGUCCUCAAAUUUGCUUCUGUCUAGCUGCUCAGGGACACCCACUCCAGCAGGCAGGCUGGAGGCACCAAAUACAGACUGCUUGCGGCUCAGCACCAUGGUGGACAUCAUGUGCCCCACCCCCUGGAUGGACCUCCGCACAUUCUUGCCUGUGGGUCACAGAAGUGGAGUCACUGAGAGAUGCG